rnacentral:rRNA from 1 species
UACGGAGGGUGCAAGCGUUAAUCGGAAUUACUGGGCGUAAAGCGCACGCAGGCGGUUUGUUAAGUCAGAUGUGAAAUCCCCGAGCUUAACUUGGGAACUGCAUUUGAAACUGGCAAGCUAGAGUCUUGUAGAGGGGGGUAGAAUUCCAGGUGUAGCGGUGAAAUGCGUAGAGAUCUGGAGGAAUACCGGUGGCGAAGGCGGCCCCCUGGACAAAGACUGACGCUCAGGUGCGAAAGCGUGGGUAGCAAACAGG